rnacentral:rRNA from 1 species
CGGUGCCUACGGGGCGCAGCAGUAGGGAAUCUUCGGCAAUGGGGGCAACCCUGACCGAGCAACGCCGCGUGAGUGAAGAAGGUUUUCGGAUCGUAAAGCUCUGUUGUAAGAGAAGAACGUGUGUGAGAGUGGAAAGUUCACACAGUGACGGUAACUUACCAGAAAGGGACGGCUAACUACGUGCCAGCAGCCGCGGUAAUACGUAGGUCCCGAGCGUUAUCCGGAUUUAUUGGGCGUAAAGCGAGCGCAGGCGGUUGGAUAAGUCUGUAGUUAAAGGCUGUGGCUCAACCAAA